rnacentral:lncRNA from 1 species
AUUGUUUCUCAUUUCCUUCCCCCACAGGAUGCCUGCCAAUCGCAGCUCUUCCCUCCUGCUCUUCACCCUCCUCAGAGAACUGGACCCAGCAGAGGCUGGGACUGGAGAUGACUGGGCACUCUGCCUUACCCCAGCCCACUCCCUGGGCCUUGGGCCGCUCUUUGGGAGUUGCAUGGUGGCAGGGCCUUGCCGGAGGAACUUUUCUUUAUGCCUGAAGUUUGGCUUCUGGCCCAGUGACAUGGGGGUUUCCAGAACGGUGACAGCCCUGUCCUAGCAGGGACAGGCCCAGGCACUUCCUCCCAGAGCCUUUGGGAACGUCAGCCCCACGGCUGUCACUGGGCGUAGGGAACAGUUGUGGAGUCAGCAGAGGCUGUCUUCACUGCUUCCCACGCCUUCAGGGACACCAUGUCAUUAAUCUCAAAACCCAUCUUCUCCUUGCCCAGGGCUGAGCUGGAGCAGAGAAGACAUAGGUGGCCAAGCUGGGCCCAGCCCUCAGAGAACAGCUAACCCCUCAGGAAACAAAUAACCAACUCCAAGACAGCAGGAGGUGUGCCGUGGCCAGGGCCUGUGGUAGAGGCAGCUCUGAAUCACCCUGGCUCAGGUGGAGAACCCAAGAGAACAGCCAUAGAAGAAUUUGUCCUGCCAAGGGAUGGAAGCAGAAGGGACAGUCAGAAGGGCCUCGAGGAGAAGGUGACAAGUGAGCAGGGUGGACAGGUGAAAGGGAGUUUGCUGGGCCGAGAAAGGGAAGGACACUGGAGCUGCCAUCGGUGUCCACUGCAGGCGGAGCAGGAAUAGUCCUGGUGAAGGCAGAGGCACUGGGUGAUCAGGAGGCAAGAGAUGUCCAGCAGGCCUGUCCUGGGGGUCAGUCCAGGCGGGGAGAGGGUGAGCACUGUCUUCCCUGCCCGGCAUCUGUCCCUUUAUUCUGGCGUUGUCCAAAAUACAGUCUUGCAGAGUCUCCAGAAACAUGGUGCCUACCCCGAGCUCUAAAAGUGGGUUUGAAGCUUGUGCUUGGCCACGCUGGGCCAUUCCUAGGCUCAGGGAUGGGCGUGUAACACCAAUGGGCAUCAGUCUGGGGACUUGCUGGGAGUCAGGGUUACGAAUGCCAAGAUGCCAGCCCCCAAAGGCUGCUGGUCAUUUUUACCACCCUGAGGGAAGAGCCUGCUUGAGAACAAACAGAGCCAAGCAGAGCCAGAGACUGAAUCUCAAUGAUGUUGCUCGUGAGCUCCUAGAUCCGGUCAUGCCUGAAACAGUUUCCAUUGCAUAAACCAACAAAUUCCAGUUCUGCUUAACUUAGUUGGGGUUGGUUUCUGUUACUGGCCACUGAGAGGUAAAAUCCUACUACAGAAUAACUGAAGGGAGGUGAUAGCUCCUGAGAAUUUCUGACUGCCUCGGGAAGCAUAUCGAGGGCCUGUGGCCUGAUACGACUAGCAGUUUUUUUCACUUGAAUUACUUUUUGGAUAAGGACAUGAUUUCAUGUGGUUCAAAAUUCAGAAAAUUCAAGAGGCAAAGUCUUACCUCUGUCACCCACUUCCCCUCCCGGAGACAAUGGAUGUGACCAGUUUCUUGUACCCCUGCUAGAGUUGUUCUUUAAGUUCAACCAAAGCCUCGCCCAUCUUUUUGACACAAAUAGCCAAUAUAUAGACAAGUACAGCCCCAAAGUCCUGUAGGCCCUCAUGGGAGCCAGGGGAGGGCUGAACCCCUUGUUGGGGGCCUCCACUAUCCAUACUGGUCUUCACUUUGCUUUUUUUUUUUUUCUCAGUUAACAUUAUAUUUUGGUUUGAAUAUGCUUUGUUUCCUCAGCAAACUCAGUUGAAGUUUAAUCCCCCUUGUGAGCCAGUGUGGUGGUGCACAAUAAUCCCAUCAGCUCAGGAGGCCCAAGCAGGAGGAUCGAGAGUUCAAAACCAGCGUCAGCAACUUAGCGAGGCCCUAAGCAACUCAGCAAGAUCCUAUUUCUAAAUAGAAUGCAAAAAAGGGCUGGGGUUGUGGCUCGGUGGUUAAGCAGGUUCAAUCCCUAGUACCCAAAAUAAAUAAGUAAGUAAAUAAAUAAACAAAUAGGUCCCCAUUGUGAGGCAUUGAGAGAGUAGAAAUAUAAUCUGACCAUGAAUGGAGAUAAGUCUUUGUGGGGUGAUUAGGAUUAAAGUCAUGGGGUGGGCCCUUCCCCAUGAUUGGAUUCUGGUGGCUUUAUUAAAAAGAGAGUGAUCCAGGCUCAAG